AUUGAACGCUGGCGGCAGGCCUAACACAUGCAAGUCGAGCGGAGCGGCGGACGGGUGAGUAAUGCCUAGGAAUCUGCCUGGUAGUGGGGGAUAACGUCCGGAAACGGGCGCUAAUACCGCAUACUAUCAGAUGAGCCUAGGUCGGAUUAGAUCGUUGGUGGGGUAAAGGCCUACCAAGGCGACGAUCCGUAACUGGUAUGAGAGUAUGAUCAGUCACACUGGAACUGAGACACGGUCCAGACUCCUACGGGAGGCAGCAGUGGGAAAGAUUGGACAAUGGGCGGAAUCCUGAUCCAGCCAUGCCGCGUGUGAGAAGAAGGUCUUCGGAUUGUAAAGCACUUUAAGUUGGGAGGCGUUACCAACAGAAUAAGCACCGGCUAACUUCGUGCCAGCAGCCGCGGUAAAUC
rnacentral:rRNA from 1 species